CCUACGGGCGGCCGCAGUGGGGAAUAUUGGACAAUGGGGGCAACCCUGAUCCAGCCAUGCCGCGUGUGUGAAGAAGGCCCUCGGGUUGUAAAGCACUUUCAGUGAGGAAGAACGCCUGGUGGUUAAUACCCAUCAGGAAAGACAUCACUCACAGAAGAAGCACCGGCUAACUCCGUGCCAGCAGCCGCGGUAAUACGGAGGGUGCGAGCGUUAAUCGGAAUUACUGGGCGUAAAGCGCGCGUAGGUGGCUUGAUAAGCCGGUUGUGAAAGCCCCGGGCUCAACCUGGGAACGGCAUCCGGAACUGUCAAGCUAGAGUGCAGGAGAGGAAGGUAGAAUUCCCGGUGUAGCGGUGAAAUGCGUAGAGAUCGGGAGGAAUACCAGUGGCGAAGGCGGCCUUCUGGACUGACACUGACACUGAGGUGCGAAAGCGUGGGUAGCAAACAGGAUUAGAUACCCUAGUAGUC
rnacentral:rRNA from 1 species